GAUGAACGCUAGCGAUAGGCCUAACACAUGCAAGUCGAGGGGCAGCACAUGAGUAGCAAUACGAUGGUGGCGACCGGCGCACGGGUGAGUAACACGUAUGCAACCUACCUCUAACGAGGGGGAUAACCCGUUGAAAGACGGACUAAUACCCCAUAAUACAGGGGCUCCGCAUGGAGAUAUUUGUUAAAGAUUUUAUCGGUUAGAGAUGGGCAUGCGUUCCAUUAGCUAGUUGGUGAGGUAACGGCUCACCAAGGCGACGAUGGAUAGGGGAACUGAGAGGUUUAUCCCCCACACUGGAACUGAGACACGGUCCAGACUCCUACGGGAGGCAGCAGUGAGGAAUAUUGGUCAAUGGAGGCAACUCUGAACCAGCCAAGUCGCGUGAAGGAUGAAGGUCUUAUGGAUUGUAAACUUCUUUUGCAGGGGAAUAAAUAGCGGUACGUGUACCGUUUUGCAUGUACCCUGCGAAUAAGGAUCGGCUAACUCCGUG
rnacentral:rRNA from 1 species